rnacentral:tRNA from 1 species
GGGGCUAUAGCUCAGCUGGGAGAGCACUUGAUUUGCAUUCAAGAGGUCUGCGGUUCGAUCCCGCAUAGCUCCACCA